UACGGGGGGGGCAAGCGUUGUUCGGAAUUACUGGGCGUAAAGGGCGCGUAGGCGGCCUUCUAAGUCAGACGUGAAAUCCCUCGGCUCAACCGAGGAACUGCGUCUGAUACUGGAAGGCUUGAAUCCGGGAGAGGGAUGUGGAAUUCCAGGUGUAGCGGUGAAAUGCGUAGAUAUCUGGAGGAACACCGGUGGCGAAGGCGGCAUCCUGGACCGGUAUUGACGCUGAGGCGCGAAAGCUAGGGGAGCAAACAGG
rnacentral:rRNA from 1 species